UAGCGAAGGGGGCGAGCGUUGUUCGGAAUUACUGGGCGUAAAGCGUGCGUAGGUGGUGAGUUAAGUCUGUCGUGAAAGCCCCGGGCUCAACCUGGGAAUGGCGAUGGAUACUGGCUCGCUAGAGUGCGGUAGAGGAGAGUGGAAUUCCCGGUGUAGCAGUGAAAUGCGUAGAGAUCGGGAGGAACAUCAGUUGCGAAGGCGGCUCUCUGGACCAGCACUGACACUGAGGCACGAAAGCGUGGGGAGCAAACAGG
rnacentral:rRNA from 1 species